AACCACAGGACAAAAACAAAAUCCCUUGUCGUUUUAGAUCCAAUCGGUUUCUAGGGUUCUCGAUAAAAACCAACCAUUGAUCUGAGAUGAGAUGGCUGAUAUCAUGAAGCAAAUCUUAGCGAGAAGCCGAUCCAACUGUCUGACCAGGUGAUGAAAGCGGCUGAUGAGGCUAGUUCGUUCAAGCAGGAGUGCGGUCUUCUCCGCUCCCGCUGAGGAUCGCGGUGACGCUGGUUACCUUGGUCUUCCUCCUAUGGCUGCCAACGAGCCCAUCCUCUGGGAGCAUAUUGCUCUUCUCCACACCGGAUCCCUUGAAGACCGCUCCGAUGCUGCCGCUUCCCUCGUUUCUCUUACCCAUCAUAACGAUUGCUACAUUAAGCUUAUCAUCGCGGAAGGAGGCAUAGGGCCUCUCUUUACAGCAGGGGAACAAGUGUCGAGAGAAACGUUGGGUGUGUAGAACUAGAAGCUCAGUUAUCCAUUCCAUUCGCAGCUAAGAGAUUUUUUAUCAAGUCCAAGGUUUGGCGUGAGAUGUUCUGUUUCGCUCGAUAGAGAUACUCCCAUUACUGAUUCGUUCUCUACUCACGGGAGUAUGUAGUCUCCUUCUUUGUUGACCUAAAGUUUUCAUUUUUAUUAAUUGUUAGUGUUGCUUUGUUGGUUUACUGAGUGAUUAUGGAUCUUAGUAUAACAGAUUUCUUCACUCAAGCUAAACAAGUGAAGAGAAUUGAGAUCAGUGAUCAACAUAGGUAAUGCUUGUUGCUGUUUUUCUUGUAAUGCGACUCAAGUCAGUGUGUGGUGGUCAUCUAUGUUGACAUAUCGUGAGAAGAGACAUUCAUACAUGUACUUGGCGUACUUCGCUACUGGUGGAGCUCUCUAUUUGGUCAUGUUUCUGAGUUAUGUUCGUGGAACGAACAGAAGAGCUUUCUUUUGUUUCUAAAUUCUUAAACCAACUUUUGUUUUUUUUUAGCUUAGCUUGGCUACUCAAAAGAAAGAUUUGUAUGGUCUUUGAUCCAUCACAGUGGGUGCAAAUUACUUUCACCGAAAGGAAGACCAAUGAGAUCGAAGAGCCAAAGAAAAAGCAUAAAACAAAGGCUAAGGCUUAGAAGAUUUGUGGUUAACAUAUUUUGGAUGUUUAUUAUGUAUCUCGGUUUUAUUUUGAACUUAUGUAGGAUGAUAUGUAACUCUUGCUUGUGUUGAAUCCAUGUAGGAUGAUAUGUAAGACUAUUGCUUGUGUUGCAGGUUUGGACUACUAGAAUACUAGGUA